rnacentral:rRNA from 1 species
CUACGGGUGGCAGCAGUGGGGCAUAUUGGACAAUGGGCGAAAGCCUGAUCCAGCCAUGCCGCGUGUGUGAAGAAGGCCUUCGGGUUGUAAAGCACUUUCAGUGGGGAAGAAAGCCUUGGGGCUAAUACCCUCGAGGAAGGACAUCACCCACAGAAGAAGCACCGGCUAACUCCGUGCCAGCAGCCGCGGUAAUACGGAGGGUGCGAGCGUUAAUCGGAAUUACUGGGCGUAAAGCGCGCGUAGGCGGUCUGAUAAGCCGGUUGUGAAAGCCCCGGGCUCAACCUGGGAACGGCAUCCGGAACUGUCAGGCUAGAGUGCAGGAGAGGAAGGUAGAAUUCCCGGUGUAGCGGUGAAAUGCGUAGAGAUCGGGAGGAAUACCAGUGGCGAAGGCGGCCUUCUGGACUGACACUGACGCUGAGGUGCGAAAGCGUGGGUAGCAAACAGGAUUAGAUACCCGGGUAGUC